rnacentral:rRNA from 1 species
CCUACGGGUGGCAGCAGUAGGGAAUAUUGCUCAAUGGGGGAAACCCUGAAGCAGCAACGCCGCGUGGAGGAUGAAGGUUUUAGGAUUGUAAACUCCUUUUGUUAGAGAAGAUUAUGAGGGUAUCUGACGAAAAAGAACCGGCAAACUCAGUGCCAGCAGCCGCGGUAAUACGGAGGGUGCAAGAGUUAAACGGAGUCACUGGGCGUAAAGAGUGCGUAGGGGGGGUAAGAAGUGAGAUGUGAAAUCCUGUAGCUUAACUACAGACCUGCAUUUGAAACUGUUACUCUUGAGUGUGGGAGAGGUAGGCGGAAUGCUUUGUGUAGGGGUGAAAUGCGUAGAUAUCCAGAGGAAUACUCAUUGCGAAGGCGGCCUGCUGGAACAUUACUGACGCUGAUGCACGAAAGCGUGGGGAGCAAACAGGAUUAGAUACCCUAGUAGUC